GGAGGCGUCGCAUAGUGGUCUAGUGCAGCGGUUUCGAAAACCGCCAGGGUGAAAGCCCUCGUGAGUUCGAAUCUCACCGCCUCCGCCA
rnacentral:tRNA from 4 species